CUCGUCAGAGCGAGAAUAAACAGUCCAUUAAGCUCUGAGCGUUCCGCCAGUACGGCGGAGGUUGG
rnacentral:ribozyme from 1 species